UAUUGCGCAAUGGGCGAAAGCCUGACGCAGCGACGCCGCGUGGAGGAUGAAGGUCUUAGGAUUGUAAACUCCUGUCAGAUGGAAAGAAAGGCUCAUGUCUAAUAAACGUGAGAUAUGACGGUACCAUCAGAGGAAGCACCGGCUAACUUCGUGCCAGCAGCCGCGGUAAUACGAAGGGUGCGAGCGUUAUUCGGAAUCACUGGGCGUAAAGGGUGCGUAGACGGUAUGUUAAGUUUGUUGUUAAAGGCUCCGGCCUAACCGGAGUAUUGCGAUGAAAACUGGCAAGCUAGAGGGUGAGAGAGAGAAGUGGAAUUCCCGGAGUAGCGGUAAAAUGCGUGGAUCUCGGGAGGAACACCAAUGGCGAAGGCAGCUUCUUGGCUCAUUCCUGACGUUGAGGCACGAAAGCGUGGGGAGCAAACAGG
rnacentral:rRNA from 1 species